GUUGGUGUAGCUCACUGGUAGAGUGCACGCUUUAUGUGUAUGAUGUCCUGGGUUCAAUCCCCAGCUACUCCC
rnacentral:tRNA from 1 species